AUCAUGGGGACGGCGAUCUCCCCACGAGGCGUCAGCUGGAGAAUCGCGUCCGCCUAUUCAUGAAGGACGCCCCAUG
rfam:Sphingomonas melonis TY scaffold1, whole genome shotgun sequence.